UACUUGUCUUGAAAAUUAUUUCAUCUUGUUAAAUGGUAAAUUCUUAUUUUUCUUUUUAAGAAAUGUGGCUUGGUGUUGAGCUGGAAGAGAGUACAAGGUGCUUCUGGAAAACUUCAAGCCCUCGCUGUCCUUGUACUCUGUAGCCUGGUCUGAAAUUCUCCCUGAUCUGCCUCUUCCUCCAAGUGCUGUGAUCCAAGCUUUUGGAUUUUGUGAGUAUAAGAAGCCUGAAUCUAC